rnacentral:rRNA from 1 species
UACGUAGGGUGCAAGCGUUAAUCGGAAUUACUGGGCGUAAAGCGUGCGCAGGCGGUUGUGCAAGACCGAUGUGAAAUCCCCGGGCUUAACCUGGGAAUGGCAUUGGUGACUGCACGGCUAGAGUGUGUCAGAGGGGGGUAGAAUUCCACGUGUAGCAGUGAAAUGCGUAGAGAUGUGGAGGAACACCGGAUGGCGGAAGGCAGCCCCCUGGGUCAAGAUUGACGCUCAUGCACGAAAGCGUGGGGAGCAAACAGG